rnacentral:rRNA from 1 species
GAUGAACGCUGGCGGCGUGCCUAAUACAUGCAAGUCGAGCGAACGGACGAGAAGCUUGCUUCUCUGAUGUUAGCGGCGGACGGGUGAGUAACACGUGGAUAACCUACCUAUAAGACUGGGAUAACUUCGGGAAACCGGAGCUAAUACCGGAUGAUAUUUUGAACCGCAUGGUUCAAAAGUGAAAGACGGUCUUGCUGUCACUUAUAGAUGGAUACGCGCUGCAUUAGCUAGUUGGUAAGGUAACGGCUUACCAAGGCAACGAUGCAUAGCCGACCUGAGAGGGUGAUCGGCCACACUGGAACUGAGACACGGUCCAGACUCCUACGGGAGGCAGCAGUAGGGAAUCUUCCGCAAUGGGCGAAAGCCUGACGGAGCAACGCCGCGUGAGUGAUGAAGGUCUUCGGAUCGUAAAACUCUGUUAUUAGGGAAGAACAUAUGUGUAAGUAACUGUGCACAUCUUGACGGUACCUAAUCAGAAAGCCACGGCUAACUACGUG